rnacentral:rRNA from 1 species
AUCCAGACUCCUACGGGAGGCAGCAGUGGGGAAUAUUGCACAAUGGGGGAAACCCUGAUGCAGCGACGCCGCGUGAGCGAUGAAGUAUUUCGGUAUGUAAAGCUCUAUCAGCAGGGAAGAAGAUGACGGUACCUGACUAAGAAGCCCCGGCUAACUACGUGCCAGCAGCCGCGGUAAUACGUAGGGGGCAAGCGUUAUCCGGAUUUACUGGGUGUAAAGGGAGCGUAGACGGCGAUGCAAGCCAGAUGCGAAAGCCCGGGGCUCAACCCCGGGACUGCAUUUGGAACUGUGUGGCUGGAGUGUCGGAGAGGCAGGCGGAAUUCCUAGUGUAGCGGUGAAAUGCGUAGAUAUUAGGAGGAACACCAGUGGCGAAGGCGGCCUGCUGGACGAUGACUGACGUUGAGGCUCGAAAGCGUGGGGAGCAAACAGGAUUAGAUACCCGCGUA